AUUGAACGCUGGCGGCAGGCCUAACACAUGCAAGUCGAGCGGAUGAAGGGAGCUUGCUCCUGGAUUCAGCGGCGGACGGGUGAGUAAUGCCUAGGAAUCUGCCUGGUAGUGGGGGAUAACGUCCGGAAACGGGCGCUAAUACCGCAUACGUCCUGAGGGAGAAAGUGGGGGAUCUUCGGACCUCACGCUAUCAGAUGUGCCUAGGUCGGAUUAGCUAGUUGGUGGGGUAAAGGCCUACCAAGGCGACGAUCCGUAACUGGUCUGAGAGGAUGAUCAGUCACACUGGAACUGAGACACGGUCCAGACUCCUACGGGAGGCAGCAGUGGGGAAUAUUGGACAAUGGGCGAAAGCCUGAUCCAGCCAUGCCGCGUGUGUGAAGAAGGUCUUCGGAUUGUAAAGCACUUUAAGUUGGGAGGAAGGGCAGUAAGUUAAUACCUUGCUGUCUUGACGUUACCAACAGAAUAAGCACCGGCUAACUUCGUG
rnacentral:rRNA from 1 species